rnacentral:rRNA from 1 species
UACGUAGGGUGCAGGCGUUAAUCGGAAUUACUGGGCGUAAAGCGUGCGCAGGCGGUUUGCUAAGACAGGUGUGAAAUCCCCGGGCUUAACCUGGGAACUGCGCUUGUUACUGGCAGGCUUGAGUGUGGCAGAGGGGGGUGGAAUUCCACGUGUAGCAGUGAAAUGCGUAGAUAUAGGAAGGAAUACCAGUGGCGAAGGCGGCCUCCUGGAUCGAUACUGACGCUGAGGCGCGAAAGCGUGGGGAGCAAACAGG